rnacentral:rRNA from 1 species
CGAACGCUGGCGGCAGGCUUAACACAUGCAAGUCGAGCGCCCCGCAAGGGGAGCGGCAGACGGGUGAGUAACGCGUGGGAAUCUACCCUUUACUACGGAACAACUGAGGGAAACUUCAGCUAAUACCGUAUGUGUCCUUCGGGAGAAAGAUUUAUCGGUAAAGGAUGAGCCCGCGUUGGAUUAGCUAGUUGGUGGGGUAAAGGCCUACCAAGGCGACGAUCCAUAGCUGGUCUGAGAGGAUGAUCAGCCACACUGGGACUGAGACACGGCCCAGACUCCUACGGGAGGCAGCAGUGGGGAAUAUUGGACAAUGGGCGCAAGCCUGAUCCAGCCAUGCCGCGUGUGUGAUGAAGGUCUUAGGAUUGUAAAGCACUUUCACCGGAGAAGAUAAUGACGGUAUCCGGAGAAGAAGCCCCGGCUAACUUCGUGCCAGCCGCCGCAGUAACAC